GGAGGGUUCUUGUGGCCUCUGGCGGGCCUCCAGCCAGUUAGACCAUUUGACCAGAACGUGUGCAGCUCAGCCAGCCGCAGAGCUGGAAUUUUUCAGGAGCAGGGGGAGCAUGGAGUUUGGACUUUGCUGAGCAACUGAAGUGGAGCGCAGAGCUUGCUCGCUUAGGAGAGAGCAUCAUGGAUGGCAAACAAGGGGGCAUGGAUGGGAGCAAGCCCGCGGGGCCAAGGGACUCUCCUGACAUCAGGCUUCUUUCAAACCCAUUGAUGGGCGAUGCUGUGUCUGAUUGGUCUCCUAUGCAUGAAGCUGCAAUCCACGGACAUCAGCUGUCUCUGAGGAACCUCAUCAGCCAGGGGUGGCCUGUGAACAUCAUCACGGCAGAUCAUGUUUCCCCACUCCAUGAAGCCUGUCUUGGAGGUCAUCCCUCUUGUGUAAAGAUUUUAUUAAAGCAUGGAGCUCAGGUGAAUGGUGUGACAACAGACUGGCACACUCCACUGUUUAAUGCUUGUGUCAGCGGCAGCCGGGAUUGUGUGAAUUUGCUUCUGCAGCACGGAGCCAGCGUUCAACCUGAGAGUGAUCUGGCAUCCCCCAUCCAUGAAGCUGCUAGGAGAGGCCACGUGGAGUGUGUUGACUCUCUUAUAGCUUAU
rnacentral:sRNA from 1 species